rnacentral:lncRNA from 7 species
GUGUGGGAUGGUGACCGUGGUGACAGGAGCUGGCAUCACUCGAAUGUCACAGGUGACCCCUGUGAAAGGACCGUUAGACUAGGAUCUCGACCUGCAGGUGGAGAGACACUGCAUAGGGAGAUCAGUAUUUGGAGAGACUCCUGAUUCAGAAGUUGAAGUGGCUGAGGUCAGAGAGCCAUCGGUGACCUGGUGCGUGUUCUCCAAGGCCAACAUUAUGACCACCAUGAAGAGCUCGAACUGCAGGUUCUCUUUGUGCCGCUCUUGAGAAGAACUUCAAGUUGGGGUUGGAGUUGACCCAGGCCCCUCUGCACCCAGGGGGAUAGAACUUGAAGCUGGUCUUGGUGCUGUAGCUGAGCUCCAGCAGAGAAUGCUUCCAUGAGGGACCGGUGAACUCCUGCAGGCUGCUGAAGGGCUCUCACUUUCUGCUCGCCAUUUGCCCAUUUUAUAUCAAGGUGGUCAGCAACAGAAAGUAGGGGAACCAUGCUUUGUAUAAGUAGUUCCAAGAACAUUCAGCAAGUACAUGCGAAGUGCCAGGAUUCUGAUAACCGGAAAGUCUUGUGAAAUUGGGAAUAAAAAUAAGGAAGGUGGUGUCCCAGAUGCCAACCUUGGGACCUUUACUGGGAGAGGCUAGGAAUGUCUAACACAUGACAGAUGUGUCAUUGAUCAGCUGCUAAGGUGACAUCUCCAU